GGGGGAGUUCUGGACUUUUAUGUGUUCUUGGGGCCAACUCCAGAGCUUGUCACCCAGCAGUACACUGAGCUGAUUGGCGGCCUGUGAUGGUACCUUACUGGUCUUUGGGUUUCCAGCUGUGUCGCUAUGGAUACGAGAACGACUCUGAGAUCGCCAGCUUGUAUGAUGACAUGGUGGCCGCCCAGAUCCCUUAUGACGUGCAGUACUCAGACAUCGACUACAUGGGCGGCAGCUGGACUU